rnacentral:lncRNA from 1 species
CCACGGCCACGCCCCCAGGCCACUCCCCCUCUCCCGGCUGCGGCCUCCCAGUCUCCUCGGCCACACCCCCUUCCCAACUACUUAAAAGGACACUCCGACGCUCACGUUUCCCUACGGUGCUGGGGUUCCUGUCUGUGCAGUUCUGCUUGGAGAAGCUGGAGAGUGGAGUAGGGGCGUGUGAAGAUGCAGGCGCCCUGAGUGCCCGGCUGUGUGGACCUGAUCUGAGCCACAACUUCCUGACUUCGAAGGCCAGGCUGGAGCCCAAGAAGGCUUUGCAGCCCCCUGGGUGUGCUCAUUGUGUGAGCCAAGUGUUGUCUCUGGUGAUGAUGCCGACAGCCCGGCUCUCCUCGUGUUUCCGCUGCUGCGUGGAAUGUGAACCAGCUGAGCCGGACCAGCGCCGCCCCAGGGCAGGAGGCCAGGUGUGCUGUCUCUGGACGACAGGCAUGAGGAACAGCGACGCCUGAUGUCACCAGGGCCUGGGAACCACCCUGCCUGGGGGAUGCUGGCCCUCUCUGCUAAUGUGCUUGGGUCCUUAUUUCCUCUUUGAAUGUGUUUCUUGAAAAACAAACUCUUUGAGGUGAAAAAAGUUUAUGGUUUUUAGAACAAUGGUUUGAAAUAGAGCAAAUACUGGUAACAGGCUCUGCAGAUAAUUCUAUAAAGCUGUGAAAGAGCCACGAAAUAGUUUACUCUAAUCACCCUGUACAAAGCAGCCACCUUCAGGAUUCAUUUCUUCAAGUGGUGUCAAUUCAAUUAAUCAUAAAAAAAUGAUUAAAAGAAUUUCAUACAACUUUGCUUUUAAAAUAAAAUCUUGGUGAACCAGCAUUCCAAUCUCAUGCUGUUAUUUAUUUUUUCCACUGAUUUAUCUAUUUAUUUACUUGCAUUAUAAAGGUAAUACUAAUGGUAAAAACAGAAAUGCAAAUCAUUCUGCCGGGUAUAAAAUGAAAAGUAGAAAUCCCCUCUUAUAAGUUGUUCUCGUUUCCCUGAGAUGAUCAAAGUUAAUGGUUUCUUGUGACGCAGAAAUUUUGUUAUAUAUGUGUGUGUGUAUCUACAUCUAAUCCAAUAUUUUUCCACAAAUGGUCUAGUCCUAUGAUUUUUUUCCCACUUAAAUAUAGAUCUUGACAUACAGGUCUAUCUCAUUCUUUUUAAUGAUUGUCUAGCUCUGGUGUUUC